GAAGACGUUUUAUUCACUGUAACUCUAAAGAAAAUGGUACGGCGAGGGGUUAAUGAUAAGUUCUUAAAUUCAUUUUGAAAUGUGACACUGCAAUUGACAAUUGAGUCACACGAUUUAGAACAAGUAUUUACGUUAUCAUUAUUAAAAAUAUUGUAUUAUUUAAAAUAACUACGAAUAUUGUGAAGUGUAAUAUCGAAAGAAAUCGGAUUUUCGGUGAUCGGGGAAUUCACGCGUGAGUAACACCGGCCGUCAAAGCGUGUAACCGGGUCGGACGAAAUACCGUGGACAAAAGUACAUCUCAAUUUAAGGGCAAUUGUGUUUAACAGACCACCGUUCUCGAUCGACCGUGGGCGUCUGCUUCGUUGGCGUACGAACGACCGAACGCACGCAUGCACUAACCAACCGACGAAUGAACAAACCCACGAACAAACUAUUUUAUUCUAUCUUGUAUCGUUAAACGCUGCGCAGCUUCCCUUUCCGGUAUUAGCCCUACGGCGCGUCGCGUCGGUGACGCGAUAGACCGGCAAUUAUGAAAUUGUUGCGUUCGGAACCCAUCCUUCGUCUCGUACGCCGUCGAAUCGAGCCAAUCCGAAUUUUUCUAAAGAAGUUCUAUAGGUUUUUAUUUGACCAGUCUGAAAAUAAAGCAUCCGCAAGAAUUUCACAUUUCCGUACAAUUUACACCACAAUAUGUUUAAUAAAACCGUGCACGCUAAUAUUCACCUGUUUAUUAAAAACAUGUCUUGUGUGUUGAGUAAUAACUUAAAGUCUCCCCUGCUCCAUAAAAUUUUAAAUAGCUGCGGUAUAUUGACUGUACAAAGGUAGCAUAAUCANNNNNNNNUUUUAAUUGAGGGCUGGAAUGAAAGGGGGAAUGAAAUAUAAACUGUUUCAAUAUUAAGAAAUUAAUUUAAAAUUUAAGUAAAAAUGCUUAAUUUUUUUUAAGGGACGAUAAGACCCUAUAGAAUUUUAUAAUUUUUAUAAAAUUAAUAAUUAUAUUUUAUUAUAUAUAUAUAUAUAUAUAUUAAUUUAUUAUGUAAAUUAUUUUAUUGGGGUNNNNNNNGAUAUUUAAAUUUAUUGAACUUUAAAUUUUAUAAACAUAAAUUAAUGUAAAAAUAAAUGAAAUUUUAUUAAAAGGUUAAAGAUAAAUUACCUUAGGGAUAACAGCAUAAUAUCUUUAGGAAGAUCAUAUUUAUAAAGAUGUUUGUGACCUCGAUGUUGAAUUAAGAUAAAUUUUAAAUGCAGAAGUUUAAAAAUUAAGUCUGUUCGACUUUUAAAAUCUUACAUGAUUUGAGUUCAGAUCGGUGUAAGCCAGAUCGGUUUCUAUCUUUAAAUAAAUUAGAUAUUUUUGUACGAAAGGACUUAAUAUUUUUAAGAUUUUAGUAAUUUAUANNNNNNNNNNNNNNNNNNNNNNNNNNNNNNNNNNNNNNNNNNNUUAAAUUUAGGAUUUAAUUAU
rnacentral:rRNA from 1 species